AAAAGCUUAUCUGGUCCGGACACAGUGAGGAUUGACAGACAGUUGGCAGGAGUGGUUCUUGGUAAAAACAAAUGAGAGAGUUGAAGUUCUUUCAUGAUCUUGUGAGAGGUGGUGCAUGGCCGUUCUUAGUUCGUGUAGUGAUAUGUCUGCCUAAUCGCGUCACGAUAACCUAUUGGUCGACAACCCAAUUAUCACAACUGCAGCAUAACUCCCCUUGGGUGGGCGAGGCUCUGUGUAGGAUAGACCUCUGAACAGUACGCAACGAACGCGAUCGUAAUCCCUUGUUGAGUGGCCAUCCUGUAAGCUGCUGGAUUUGAAACCCAGUGGUAUUAUCUCAGCCACAGAUUUUCUGGUUGUAAUGGGCCAGUUUUGAAACUCGGGGAACAUCUGUGACUUUCUUUCUUAACGCAGAGGAAGGUUAUGGCAAUAACA
rnacentral:rRNA from 1 species